rnacentral:lncRNA from 1 species
CCCUUUACAAAUGAAAAAAAUUACUGAAUUUGUUAGUUGGUCUAUCUUUUGAAACAUGCUUGGUAUAAUUGGUUUUUAUUGUGUAGAAAGAUAGUACUAUUAUGUUAGAUGGUCUAUCUUUUGAAACAUGCUUGGUAUAAUUGGUUUUUAUUGUGUAAAAAGAUAGUACUAUGAUGUUAGAUGGUCUAUCUAAUGAAACAUGCUUGGUAUAAUUGGUUUUUAUUGUGUAGAAAGAUAGUACUAUGAUGUUAGAUGGUCUAUCUAAUGAAACAUGCUUGGUAUAAUUGGUUUUUAUUGUGUAGAAAGAUAGUACUAUGAUAUUAGUUGGUCUAUCUUUUGAAACAUGCUUGGUAUAAUUGGUUUUUAUUGUGUAGAAAGAUAGUACUAUUAUGUUAGAUGGUCUAUCUAAUGAAACAUGCUUGGUAUAAUUGGUUUUUAUUGUGUAGAAAGAUAGUACUAUGAUGUUAGAUGGUCUAUCUAAUGUAACAUGCUUGGUAUAAUUGGUUAUUAUUGUGUAGAAAACUAUGAUGUUAGAUGGUCUAUCUAUUGAAACAUGCUUGGUAUAAUUGGUUUUUAUUGUGUAGAAAGAUAGUACUAUGAUGUUAGAUGGUCUAUCUAAUGAAACAUGCUUGGUAUAAUUGGUUUUUAUUGUGUAGAAAGAUAGUACUAUGAUGUUAGAUGGUCUAUCUAAUGAAACAUGCUUGGUAUAAUUGGUUUUUAUUUGUAAAAAGAUAGUACUAUGAUGUUAGAUGGUCUAUCUAAUGAAACAUGCUUGGUAUAAUUGUUUUUUAUUGUGUAGAAAGAUAGUACUAUGAUGUUAGAUGGUCUAUCUAAUGAAACAUGCUUGGUAUAAUUUGUUUUUAUUGUGUAGAAAGAUAGUACUAUGAUGUUAGAUGGUCUAUCUAAUGAAACAUGCUUGGUAUAAUUGGUUUUUAUUUUGUAGAAAGAUAGUACUAUGAUGUUAGAUGGUCUAUCUAAUGAAACAUGCUUGGUAUAAUUGGUUUUUAUUGUGUACAAAGAUAUAGUACUAUGAUGUUAGAUGGUCUAUCUAAUGAAACAUGCUUGGUAUAAUUGGUUUUUAUUGUGUAGAAAGAUAGUACUAUGAUGUUAGAUGGUCUAUCUAAUGAAACAUGCUUGGUAUAAUUGGUUUUUAUUUUGUAAAAAGAUAGUACUAUGAUGUUAGAUGGUCUAUCUAAUGAAACAUGCUUGGUAUAAUUGGUUUUUAUUGUGUAGAAAGAUAGUACUAUGAUGUUAGAUGGUCUAUCUAAUGAAACAUGCUUGGUAUAAUUGGUUUUUAUUGUGUAAAAAGAUAGUACUAUGAUGUUAGAUGGUCUAUCUAAUGAAACAUGCUUGGUAUAAUUGGUUUUUAUUGUGUAGAAAAGAUAGUACUAUGAUGUUAGAUGGUCUAUCUAAUGAAACAUGCUUGGUAUAAUUGGUUUUUAUUGUGUAGAAAGAUAGUACUAUGAUGUUAGAUGA